rnacentral:rRNA from 1 species
GAGAGGGAGCCUGAGAAACGGCUACCACAUCCAAGGAAGGCAGCAGGCACGCAAAUUACCCACUCCCGGCACGGGGAGGUAGUGACAAAAAAUAACGAUACGGGACUCAUCCGAGGCCCCGUAAUCGGAAUGAGAACACCCUAAAUCCUUUAACGAGGAUCUAUUGGAGGGCAAGUYUGGUGCCAGCAGCCGCGGUAAUUCCAGCUCCAAUAGCGUAUAUUAAAGUUGUUGCGGUUAAAAAGCUCGUAGUUGGUUCUGCGUGCCACGCUGUCGGUUCACCGCCUGUCGGUGCAACUGGCAUGCCGUGGCAUGUCCUGUCGGUGGCUUCACAGGCUUCGCGGCGAUCCCUAUGCGUUCACACGUGUAGGCCGUUUCGCCGCGUUGUUCUUGUAGGCCGGCUCAAUCCUGCCGCGGUGCUCUUUACCGAGUGUCGAGGUAGGCCGACACUGUUUACUUUGAACAAAUUAGAGUGCUUCAAGCAGGCUAUGAAAGCAGCCUGAAUAGUGGUGCAUGGAAUAAUGGAACAGGACCUUGGUUCUAU